rnacentral:rRNA from 1 species
GACGAACGCUGGCGGCGUGCUUAACACAUGCAAGUCGAACGAAGUGGCGAACGGGUGAGUAACGCGUAAUCAACCUGCCCUUCAGAGGGGGACAACAGUUGGAAACGACUGCUAAUACCGCAUACUGAAGGAGGGGAUUGCGUCUGAUUAGCUAGUUGGAGGGGUAACGGCCCACCAAGGCGAUGAUCAGUAGCCGGUCUGAGAGGGUGAACGGCCACACUGGGACUGGGACACGGCCCAGACUCCUACGGGGGGCGACAGGGGGGGAACUUCCGAAAUGGGCGGAAGUCUGACGGAGAAAAGCCGCGUGAGUGAUGACGGCCUUCGGGUUGUAAAACUCUGUUAAGCGGGACGCGGUACCGGAAUAGAAAGCCACGGCUAACUACGUGCCAGCAGCCGCGGUAAUAC